rnacentral:rRNA from 1 species
UACGUAGGGUGCGAGCGUUAAUCGGAAUUACUGGGCGUAAAGUGUGCGCAGGCGGCCGCGCAAGUCGAGUGUGAAAGCCCCGAGCUUAACUUGGGAAUUGCGCUCGAAACUACGUGGCUGGAGUGUGGCAGAGGAAGGUGGAAUUCCAGGUGUAGCGGUGAAAUGCGUAGAGAUCUGGAGGAACACCGAUGGCGAAGGCAGCCUUCUGGGCCAACACUGACGCUCAUGUGCGAAAGCGUGGGGAGCAAACAGG